rnacentral:rRNA from 1 species
GAUGAACGCUGGCGGCGUGCUUAACACAUGCAAGUCGAACGAGAAGUGAAGACGGAAACCUUCGGGCGGAAGGCUUUAUUUCGAGUGGCGGACGGGUGAGUAACGCGUGGGUAACCUGCCUCAUACAGGGGGAUAACAGUUGGAAACGACUGUUAAUACCGCAUAAGACCACAGCACCGCAUGGUGCGGGGGUAAAAACUCCGGUGGUAUGAGAUGGACCCGCGUUCGAUUAGCCAGUUGGCGGGGUAACGGCCCACCAAAGCGACGAUCGAUAGCCGAUCUGAGAGGACGACCGGCCACACUGGGACUGGGACACGGCCCAAACUCCUACGGGAGGCAGCAGUGGGGAAUAUUGCACAAUGGGGGAAACCCUGAGGCAGCGACGCCGCGUGAGUGAAGAAGUAUUUCGGUAUGUAAAGCUCUAUCAGCAGGGAAGAAAAUGACGGUACCUGAGGAAGAAGCCCCGGCUAACUACGU